rnacentral:tRNA from 1 species
CAUGGAGUAGAUCAGUGGUAGAUCGCCCGGCUCGGGUCCGGGAGGGCGCGGGUUCGAUUCCCGCCUCCAUGUCGA